rnacentral:rRNA from 1 species
GACGAACGCUGGCGGCGUGCUUAACACAUGCAAGUCGAACGGAAAGGCCCUGCUUUUGUGGGGUGCUCGAGUGGCGAACGGGUGAGUAACACGUGAGUAACCUGCCCUUGACUUUGGGAUAACUUCAGGAAACUGGGGCUAAUACCGGAUAGGAGCUCCUGCUGCAUGGUGGGGGUUGGAAAGUUUCGGCGGUUGGGGAUGGACUCGCGGCUUAUCAGCUUGUUGGUGGGGUAGUGGCUUACCAAGGCUUUGACGGGUAGCCGGCCUGAGAGGGUGACCGGCCACAUUUGGACUGGGAUACGGCCCAGACUCCUACGGGAGGCAGCAGUGGGGAAUAUUGCACAAUGGGCGGAAGCCUGAUGCAGCAACGCAGCGUGCGGGAUGACGGCCGUCGGGUUGUAAACCGCUUUCGCCUGUGACGAAGCGUGAGUGACGGUAAUGGGUAAAGAAGCACCGGCUAACUACGUG